rnacentral:rRNA from 1 species
AUUGAACGCUGGCGGCAGGCCUAACACAUGCCAGUCGAGCGGAUGAAGGGAGCUUGCUCCUGGAUUCAGCGGCGGACGGGUGAGUAAUGCCUAGGAAUCUGCCUGGUAGUGGGGGAUAACGUCCGGAAACGGGCGCUAAUACCGCAUACGUCCUGAGGGAGAAAGUGGGGGAUCUUCGGACCUCACGCUAUCAGAUGAGCCUAGGUCGGAUUAGCUAGUUGGUGGGGUAAAGGCCUACCAAGGCGACGAUCCGUAACUGGGCUGAGAGGAUGAUCAGUCACACUGGAACUGAGACACGGUCCAGACUCCUACGGGAGGCAGCAGUGGGGAAUAUUGGACAAUGGGCGAAAGCCUGAUCCAGCCAUGCCGCGUGUGUGAAGAAGGUCUUCGGAUUGUAAAGCACUUUAAGUUGGGAGGAAGGGCAGUAAGUUAAUACCUUGCUGUUUUGACGUUACCAACAGAAUAAGCACCGGCUAACUUCGUG